UAUUGGACAAUGGGGGAAACCCUGAUCCAGCAAUGCCGCGUGAGUGAAGAAGGCCUUAGGGUUGUAAAGCUCUUUCGCCCGCGAAGAUAAUGACGGUAGCGGGAGAAGAAGCCCCGGCUAACUCCGUGCCAGCAGCCGCGGUAAUACGGAGGGGGCUAGCGUUGUUCGGAAUUACUGGGCGUAAAGCGUACGUAGGCGGAUGCGCAAGUUGGGGGUGAAAUCCCGGGGCUUAACCUCGGAAUUGCCCUCAAAACUGCACGUCUUGAGACCGAGAGAGGUAAGGGGAAUUCCUAGGGUAGAGGUGAAAUUCGUAGAUAUUAGGAAGAACACCAGUGGCGAAGGCGUCUUA
rnacentral:rRNA from 1 species